CAGUCGAACGCGAAAGUUCCCUUCGGGGAGCAAGUAGAGUGGCGCACGGGUGAGUAACACGUAGGUAAUCUACCUUUGGAUUGGGAAUAACAACCGGAAACGGUUGCUAAUACCGAAUAAUGCAGCGGCACCUAAUGGUGACAGUUGUUAAAGCGGGGGAUCGCAAGACCUCGCGUCUGAAGAGGAGCCUGCGGCAGAUUAGCUAGUUGGUAGGGUAACGGCUUACCAAGGCUAUGAUCUGUAGCCGGCCUGAGAGGGCGGUCGGCCACACUGACACUGACAUACGGGUCAGACUCCUACGGGAGGCAGCAGUCGGGAAUUUUGGGCAAUGGGCGAAAGCCUGACCCAGCAACGCCGCGUGAAGGAUGAAAUCCUUCGGGAUGUAAACUUCGCAAGAACGGGAAGAAUAAGCCGGUGCAAAUAUCACCGGCGAUGACGGUACUGUUUGUAAGCUCCGGCUAACUCCGUGCCAGCAGCCGCGGUAAUACGGGGGGAGCAAGCGUUGUUCGGAUUUACUGGGCGUAAAGGGCGCGUAGGCGGCCACCGCAAGUCAGUUGUGAAAUCUCUGGGCUUAACCCAGAAAGGUCAACUGAUACUGCGGGGCUAGAGUGCAGAAGGGGCAACUGGAAUUCUCGGUGUAGCGGUGAAAUGCGUAGAUAUCGAGAGGAACACCUGCGGCGAAGGCGGGUUGCUGGGCUGACACUGACGCUGAGGCGCGAAAGCUAGGGGAGCGAACGGGAUUAGAUACCCCGGUAGUCCUAGCCUUAAACGAUGAAUGCUUGGUGUCUGGGGUUUUAUAGUCCCCGGGUGCCGUCGCUAACGCUUUAAGCAUUCCGCCUGGGGAGUACGGUCGCAAGACUGAAACUCAAAGGAAUUGACGGGGACCCGCACAAGCGGUGGAGCAUGUGGUU
rnacentral:rRNA from 1 species